UUUACUAGGAGCUGAGUCCAUGGAGCUGGACUGGGGAAUGAGGGAUGAUCCUGGAGAGACUAAAGGUAAGGGGAUUUGUACUGCCAUUGGGGCCAAGUGCCAGGGCUUAUAGUUGACCAUGAAAAUGUGUUCAGACACUGUGAAGAAGUGAUCUUGGUUAAAAAGCUCGUCCAUAGUAGAAUGGGAAAGAGGGAGGAAAAAUGGGGCCCGACUCGUUCCUUCUCUGGAAUAUGUUUUUCAGGCUUUGUAAGGGAAUUGACUGUGCUCUGGCUGUCAUCAAAUUGGAAACCAAGGACUCUGUCUAUACAGAAAGUCAGGAUAUAGGAAAAUAAAUCCUGGGUCUUCAGGACUGAGUGGUGUUCUCAAGGUGAACCAAUACCUGCUAUUGCCACAAGGCUCCUGGGUGCUUUCCUGCCCGUGAACAUGCAGAUACAGGUGGGUGCCUGUCUAAUGGCUCCAGAAGGCUUGAGUGUAAGAGAGGAAAGAUGAUAGAUAGGAUGCUGAGGAGAAGCAGGGCCACCUGUGUGUCUCAAGCAGGGUUAUCCUGGUUCAGUUAGAUGGCAUACAAUUGAGUUUGAUAUUUGCUGUAUGUUCUGUUAGCUUAAGUUUACUUACAAGCAUGUAGAGGCACUGGAAGAAUUCAGAAUAAUGAUUAUUACCCUGGUGUGUAGUUGUACAAAAUCAAAGCUACACAAUUUCAUUCUGAUGAAAGAGUCUUGUGGAAAAGGAAAAAAAAAGAAAGAAAAACUGAGAAUUUAAAAAUAAAAAUAUGUUGAAUAUAGAACCCAAUUAAGCUUUACUCCAAAUUUUUUAUUGCAUAUUAACUUAAUCCAUUCUCUGUUGCUAUAACUGAUUGCCAUAGACUGGCUAAUUUAUAAAGAAUAAAAAUUUAUUUAUCUUACAUUUCUGGAGGCUGGGAAGUCUGUAUGGCACCAACAUCAGAUGAUAGCCUUUAUUUCACAUGAUAACAUGGAAAAGAAAUCAUGGAGUGAGAUACAGCAAGCAUGCCAGAGACAGCCUGCUUUUAUAACAAAGCGACUUCCAAGGUAAGCUUUUAAUCCAUUAACCCAUGAGUGACCAGUCACCUCCUAAAGGUGCCAUGUCUCAACACUGAGUGUGACUUUGGGGAUUAAGUUUCCAAAACAGGCAAUCUGGGGGCUUGCCGAAACCACAGCACAUAUCAUUUUAGAAAGUAUGGCGCUCCUGUUGCAGUUAGGAUCACAGUGAGGGAGUUAAUUUGGAGGAGAUGGAGGAUAGGUGAUAAGUCUGAUUCCCCAAAUUUGGAAUUUAAAAUAAUAACAUGACCUGCCCAUAGGGGAAGAAAAGAUAAAAGGCCAGUGGAGAAUGUGAACUAGGUGACGGCCACUUGGGAUUAGAAAUAUAGGUUUCAGGGGAAUCAGCAUUUAGGUGAUGAUGAAAUCAUAGAUUAUCUCUUUCAGUGGAAAAAGAGGACGGAAAAGGUCAGAAGUCCACACACUGAUCUGAGAGGACAUUUGCAUUCAUUGGUUGGAGGCAGGGGAAGAGUUGAGGCUUGGCUGGAGAAGAAGGAGUGUGUGCACGAGUUUCCAGGAAGCAGUGUCCUGUGCCAUUAAGUGCAAGAGAGAGAUCUAAGUAGAAGGGAUGCUGGAUUUUGCAAUAAAAAUUUCAUUGGUGACCUUUGAAAGAGCAAUUUUCAUAAAGUGGGCAUGGCAGGAUUCAAGUUUCAGGGGAUGAUGGGGGGAGAAAGAAGAAGGGAGUCUAUUUCCUAAGGUUCAGUGGUUUUGACAGGAAACAAAAGGAGAGAAACCAGAUUCUCCUUAGGAGACUGGGGGUCCAAUGUGUAUUUUUUUCUCCCUCGCAGAUUAUAGAUUGUCUCUUUUUGACAGAGUGGUUAUUUUGUCUCUGUUUCUCACUCCGUAACAUUUCCUCCAACACGGAGAAAAAUCAGUAGCCACCUGAGAUUAUGACUGACCUUUCUACCCAAGUAGCUUUUUCAGACUCUAAAUGCCAGCCUGCAGGCUGUUGGCAGACUUUACUUCUGCUUCUCAACUCUGGAAUCUUCACAAAUCUGUCACUUUUCAGGUGCCAUUGACACACCUCUUUGAGGUGAUGUGGUCUCCAGGGAUCUGACCUCACGGAUGAAUCAAUGUCACUAAUGCAAGAGUGGGCUUUGUUAUAAAUGUGGGUUUGUCCCCCUCUUGAUCUCUCUUCUGUUGCUUGCCCACCAUUGAUGCCUUCAGCCAUCUUAUAAUGCAGCAAAAAUGUCCUCCCCAGAUGUGACCUCUUGAUCUGGGACUUCCCACCCUCCAGGACCAUGAGCAAAAUACACUGCUAUUAUUGAUAAUUUACCCGAUUCUGUGGCAUUCUUUUAUAACAUCACAAAAUAGACUAAGGCAGAAACCUGGUCUUAAGAAGUGGGGCUGUUUGUAUAGCGAAUACCUGAAAAUAUGGCAGCGGCUUUGGAACUGGAUAACAGCUAGAGGUUGGAAGAAUUUGCAGGCUAGAAAGAGCCUACACUUCCACCAAUGGAAAAUUAAGAGCAAUUCAAAAGUAAAGAACUUGAGGGAAAGUCAGCAAUGUGGAGACUCUGUGAGUGGUUAUGAUGAGAAUACUGGCAAAAAUGUUGACAGUGAGUGACAUUUUGAUGAGGUCUCAGGUGGAACUGAGGAGCAAGGAAUUGAAAACUAGAGUAAAGGCCAUCCUUGUGACACACUUGCAAAAAACUUGAUGAAACUGUGUCUGUAUCCUAGGGCUUUAGGGAAGGCAGAAUUUUAAAGCAGUGAACUAGAAUAUUUAGCAUAAGAAAUAUCUAAGCAGUAAAGUAUCCAAAUGUGUAUGUCUUCUUUUGGCUGCUUACAGUAAAAUAAAAGAGGAGAUAAAUGAUUUAAAUCUAUAAUUAAAAGGGAAACACAUGUUUUGAUUUCCUAACUAGAGGAGAAUUUGCCUCAGGAUGUGUAGUUGACUUUGGACUUUUCAAAUGGCACAGGAACGAGUUGAGACUUUGGGUGUUAGUGGAAUAAAAUGAACACAUUUUGCAUGUGAGAAGAACAUAAAUUGGGGGGGGGGGCUGGGGUGAAACGCUAUGGUUUGAAUGUAUCCCUCAGAGUUUAUGUACUGAAAUCUUAAUCCCCAAUGCAUCAGUGUUGAUAAGUAGAGACUUAAAGGAAGAGAUUAAGAUUAGAUCAUGAGCCGGGUGCAGUGGCGCACACCUGUAAUCGCAGCAGCUCAAGAGGCUGAGACAGGAGGAUCAUGAGUUCAAAGCCAGCUUCAGCAAUGGUGAGAUGCUAAGCAACUCAGUGAGACCCCGUGUCUAAAUAAAAUAGAAAACAGGGCUGGGGGUGUGGCUCAGUGGUCGAGUGCCCCUGAGUUCAAUCCCUGGUACCCCUACCCAGGAAAAAAAGAUUAGGUUGUGAGGACUCUGGCAUCAUGAAUGGAUUAAUGUCAUUCCUCUAAGAGUGGGUGUGUUCUCAAAGUGAGUUUGGCUCCUUCUUACUGUUUUGCAGGUGAUAUCUUCUACAGUGUUAGGACACAGCAAGAAGGCUCUCACCACAUGAAGCCCCUUGAUCUUGGACUUCCCAGCCUUCAGAAUCAUGAC
rnacentral:lncRNA from 1 species